UAGAACAUUUGUUCUUCUCAGGCUGCGUUCCUUGUGAACCAGAAGGCUUGAUCCUCCGAGAUUAAGAGAGGUUUACCUCAAUUUAUCUAUAAAAUCCUGUUAUGUACACCUAGGUACAUAACAAUUGGUAUCUAGAGAUGUUUCGAUCCAUACCCUAAUCAUGGUUGCAUAAAUGGAUUUACAGAAUGAAAAAUGGGUACAAAUGAAUGGAAAAUUGGUACCGAUAAAGAAAUUUGAAGGAUUAGCAAGAGAGAAUGUAGAAGUAUGCAUAAAGUGGUAUAAGUUUUGGUUGGAAAGAAUUAACUCUCCAUCUCAAAAUUCUUUCCUUCGGAGGUGGUUAAAAAAUAUGGACAAAGCAGCAAAGAGAUUGAGAUUGAUCAUGUUUCUCAAGUGUACUGCUCCGUCUCAUCCAUAUCCUUGCAGAGUGAAAGUUCCUUCUACAACUGUUGAUGAAAUUUCAGAAGUGGAGUUAAUUUUUUUUUUCUUUGAAGAAGAUGAUUCUAUGAAUCUAGGGUUAAUUCCCUCAUUUUUCUUUCAUGAGAAGAAUGAUUUGUCUGUGGAUCAGAGUUUUUCGUAUGAGAAAGUGGUGAAAACUGAUGUUAUUGAAGUCAGUAAGUCAAGUGAAUUUCAAAUAUGGGAAGUGCAGGAGGUCACCAACAAUGGUGUGAAUGAUCUCCGUGUGAGAAAUUUGGUCCAAAUUUUUUCAGAGGCCUACGAAAAUGUUCAAUGUUUGACCGAGUUACUCUUUUUCUACAUUACAUUUCUAGGAAUGGAUUGCUUUCACUUCCAACUUGAUGCUUCUCGCUUGUUAUUCGAUCAGGGUAAGUCUGUUGUUCUCUCCUCAAACUCUAAUGGUAAUCUGCUUCGAUUGAUUAAUUACUUUGGGUAUAAACUAAAUUGUUCAUCUAUGCAAUCGAUUCAUCUUUUAUGUGUAAAUGAUGUUGAGGUUUAUGAUGAGAGGAAUCUGUUUGUUAAAAUGUCUGAGGGUAAGGUUGUGGAAUUGGGUAGUGUUGGAGUUGAUUUUCUCUUGCAGCUCAAAAUGGGUAGAGUUUUUGAUCCUGGCAAAGAAUCAGAUAGUCUUAAAGAGUUUUCCAAUUAUGUUGGUGAGUUGUUGAAGGUGUUGUCACUACCUUGGACGGAUGAGUCACUACCUUGGACGGAUGAGUCAUUGGCUUGGGAAAGUGUUGUCACUACCUUGGACGGAUGAGUCAUUUAACAAUGUGAAUUUUCAAUUCAAAAAUGUUAUAAAUGGAUUCAUCAGGAUAAGUUGCGUCCACAUAAGUGAGUGGUUUCCCAUGAGUUAUUAAUGAUGAUAGUUGCGAGACGAGAAGUUGUUGUGUCGCGGGUUCUACUUGGUGAAAUGUUGGGGGUUUGUGGUGUUGCACAUGGGCAUGGUAAUAUGCUACCAGAACCUUUCCAGGAGUUUACCCUGUUGAUGCUCAUUUUGUCGGUUCCCAAAAGUGUAAGAGUUUUUUCAAAAUUCUCGAGCAUCGUUUACUUCUUACCUACAUCUAAAAUCUGUAGCAGCUAUACGAUGCCAGUGGGUAUUAUAAACGGAACUCAUAUCUUAGUUGAAGUGUUUCAGAUUCUUAAACUGUUGAUGUGGAUAUGAUACUUAAGGUGGAAGUUCAGAUUGGUUCCACCUUGGUUGUCAAGUGUGACAUAUGUUAGAUGGGUUGUUAACCAUUUUAUCUCAGUGGUGUGUACAAUGCUUCAGCGGGAUACUGCAUUAUGGAAUUCAGUGGUACUUCAUGUUCUAAAAGAUUAUCAGGCUACGAAGGCGAAGGAAUGGGUUAGUAGAAGACAUGAAAAUUAUGAGUGUAGUUCUCUUGGAAUAGGAAUUUAUGUCAAGACUGUGCAAGCCAAUACUCGAUUAUAAUUGUUGAUAUCCACGAGAUGGGAGUGCAAUUGGUUAUCUACAGGGGUACAAAUGUGCAUAUUCAUCUCCUUGUUGCUAUUUUUUCUGCUCAGCUAACCACCUCACAGGGGUCUACACCAAGUUCAUUUUUCAUCAUAAUUUCUGCUGCCAUUUUUGUCAGAUUGUUUAUCUUUGAGGUGAGGAUCCCUCCUGCAGUUCAUGGUGGUGAAGCCUUUUGUGUGGGAAUCAGUUCACGUCUGUUCUUCCUAACUCUAUAUCUUAGCACUAGAUCGUUACCACCAAGGGUUUCAAUCAUCUUGGCUAAAUUUUGGAGUCUCCUAGUUCAUUUGUGUUUGAUAGAGGGAAAUUUCUUUUAAGUUAUGUGUGGGGAUUGUGGUACCAACCUAGAAAGGAUUCUAGCCGGAUAAAAUCCAUAUAUAUGGAAGUUGCAGUUCCCAGGGAAGCAGCUGUAACUAUUGUAAGGAAAGCAGAUGUUUUGGUUGUUCUCAUGAAAAUCUCAGUUACAGUUAAAG